rnacentral:rRNA from 1 species
GAUGAACGCUGGCGGCGUGCCUAAUACAUGCAAGUCGAGCGAACGGACGAGAAGCUUGCUUUUCUGAUGUUAGCGGCGGACGGGUGAGUAACACGUGGAUAACCUACCUAUAAGACUGGGAUAACUUCGGGAAACCGGAGCUAAUACCGGAUAAUAUUUUGAACCGCAUGGUUCAAAAGUGAAAGACGGUCUUGCUGUCACUUAUAGAUGGAUCCGCGCUGCAUUAGCUAGUUGGUAAGGUAACGGCUUACCAAGGCAACGAUGCAUAGCCGACCUGAGAGGGUGAUCAGCCACACUGGAACUGAGACACGGUCCAGACUCCUACGGGAGGCAGCAGUAGGGAAUCUUCCGCAAUGGGCGAAAGCCUGACGGAGCAACGCCGCGUGAGUGAUGAAGGUCUUCGGAUCGUAAAGCUCUGUUAUUAGGGAAGAACAUAUGUGUAAGUAACUGUGCACAUCUUGACGGUACCUAAUCAGAAAGCCACGGCUAACUACGUG